AUGGUGCAGGGCAUCCGCGAUGCUGCAAAUAUGCUCUUCUCACGCGGCGUCAGCGAGGACAUGGCAAGGCUGAACACGACAUUGGUUAACUUAGAGAAGGGCUCGCCGGACAUCCUUUUGUUCGUAAGCUUGCUUCAGAUUGAGGUCUUGAAAAAGGCAGGUCGCCGAGCACCUUACAGUAGAGCAUUAUCAGCUCAAUUGCUUGCGAUAGCAAAGAAGAGGCAAAGGAGGGUUAGCUUGACCACACGUAGUGAACCCUCGACGGUGGCGCCUAGAGUAUCCCACAAUCUGAAGAUAUUAUCUUCGGUGAAGUUGUACCAACCUAAGCGCUCCCAAAAGCAACAGCAGCUCAUAGCCCUGCGUCAAAGGCUGGAGGCAGCAUCCGCUGAGAUCUCCAAGGCCGUGGAGCUGGCUGACAGCCACAACUUGGAGGACCUGGAGUGGCUAGCAUACUGGGCAGGCAUCCUCAGGGAGGCCAAGGAACAAGGCCGGGACGUCCUGGGCGCCAUCGCGAACGCAAAGUCGUCGAUAGUGGAAUGCGUCCAAGAAGAUGAAUUCAGCAGCUUUGUGCAUAGGCUCGAGGGGUUAGCUACGGAUGUGGAAUAUUUCGAGAAAUUGAUGCACGUCUUUUACCCUAUGGCCUCUGCUGUAACCGGGGAGCUCACCAGCAGAGUGUUGUCGGGGCUGAUACAGAUGUUUGGUAAGCAGGCAGCUGCCGGAGAGAAGCUGCAGCGGCUGGAGAUGCUGCUAAUCAAGAUCCACAGCGCGGUUGAGGCGUCAGAGAAGCGCACCAUCAAGAAUUUGUGGCUCCUUCGAUGGCGCGAAAAGCUAAAGGAAGCAGCCUCACAAGGCGACGAAGUGCUUGCCAGCUUCAUACGCAAGGCGGAAGACGCUGAAGCCACAAGGGGCGUUGACACCAACCAGCAGCAAGGCUCAUCCUCUUCUUCUAGUGCUGCUUCUGCUAGAGCUACAGGUGCUCUGUCUUUCACAAGUAAAUCUAUGUUGGGCAUGGUGCAGGGCAUCCGCGACGCAACCCAGGUGCUGUUUUCGAGUGACAAAGACAUGGAAAAGCUGAACAGUACACUGGACAUGUUAGAGCAGCUCUCCAUAGAAAUCAGAGAGUUCAUAAGAUUGUUUCAGCUUGAGGACUGGGCAAAGGUAGAUCUAACAUCUACCGAGAGUAUGGAGGCUCCAACAACAGAGCAUAGACCAAGAAAAAAGAUGAGGAUCACAAGAAAUUCAGGGUGCAGAUUAUUUGGCCUCAAAUUAGAUGAGGAAGACACAAAAAUUUCAGCUCCGUGCGUGGAGGAUGCGGUAGUGAACAAAUUGAUCAAUCUUUCGAUCAAUGAAACGGCAGCUAUCCAGAAGGAACAGUGUGAAAUGCUCCUUGACAAGCUUGAGGAAGGGUUUGCCAAUAUCUGCAAGACCGUCGAGCUGGCAGAUAGCCACGACCUUGGGGACAUGAAGUGGCUCGCAUACUGGGCUGACAUCCUAAGGGAGGCCAAGAUAAAAGGCUGUGUCGUUCUUGGCACCAUCAGCGCUCGCAAAACACUGAGAGCCAAAGAUAACGAGCCAAUGGUGAAAUGUGAUCAAGAUCAAGAGAGAGAUCAAUUCAGCAGUUUCGUGCAUAGUAUGGAGGGCUUAGCCAGGGCCGUGGAAUGCUUCGGCAAAUUGGUAUACAUGUGUUCAAGAUGCUAA
rnacentral:rRNA from 1 species